rnacentral:rRNA from 1 species
UACAGAGGUCUCAAGCGUUGUUUCGGAUUCAUUGGGCGUAAAGGGUGCGUAGGUGGCGCGAUAAGUCGGGUGUGAAAUCUCGGAGCUUAACUCCGAAAUUGACAUUCGAUACUGCCGUGCUCGAGGACUGGAGAGGAGACUGGAAUUCAUGGUGUAGCAGUGAAAUGCGUAGAGAUCAUGAGGAAGACCAGUGGCGAAGGCGGGUCUCUGGACAGUUCCUGACACUGAGGCACGAAGGCCAGGGGAGCAAACGGG